AUACGUAGGGGGCGAGCGUUGUCCGGAAUGAUUGGGCGUAAAGGGCGCGUAGGCGGCCCGGUAAGUCUGGAGUGAAAGUCCUGCUUUUAAGGUGGGAAUUGCUUUGGAUACUGUCGGGCUUGAGUGCAGGAGAGGUAAGUGGAAUUCCCAGUGUAGCGGUGAAAUGCGUAGAGAUUGGGAGGAACACCAGUGGCGAAGGCGACUUACUGGACUGUAACUGACGCUGAGGCGCGAAAGUGUGGGGAGCAAACAGGAUUAGAUACCCUGGUAGUCCACACUGUAAACGAUGAAUGCUAGGUGUAGGGGGUCAAACCUCGGUGCCGCAGUUAACACAUUAAGCACUCCGCCUGGGGAGUACGGCCGCAAGGCUGAAACUCAAAUGAAUUGACGGG
rnacentral:rRNA from 1 species